rnacentral:rRNA from 1 species
AGUGAACGCUGGCGGUAUGCCUAACACAUGCAAGUCGAACGGCAGCACAGUAAGAGCUUGCUCUUACGGGUGGCGAGUGGCGGACGGGUGAGGUAUACAUCGGAAUCUACUUUUUCGUGGGUGAUAACGUAGGGAAACUUACGCUAAUACCGCAUACGACCUACGUGUGAAAGCAGGGGAUCUUCGGACCUUGCGCGAGUGAAUGAGCCGAUGUCGGAUUAGCUAGUUGGCGGGGUAAAGGCACACCAAGGCGACGAUCCGUAGCUGGUAUGAGAGGAUGAUCAGACACACUGGAAGUGAGAAAGGGCCCAGACUCCUACGGGAGGCAGCAGUGGGGAAUAUUAGACAAUGGGGGAAAGCCUGAUCCAGCACUACCGCGGGGGUGAAGAAGGCGUUCGGGUGGUAAAGCCAUUUUGUUGGGAAAGAAAAGCAGCAGGUUAAUCCCGCGCUGUUCUGACGGUACCGAAAGAAUAAGCACCGGCUAACUUCGUG